GGGGAUCCUUCCUUCGGUGGUAGUAGGCUGGGCAGAACUGGCAGUGGCUCCAAAAAUUUCCAUUACUGAAUUGGCCAAAAUUUAAUUUCUCCUCUUUUAGGGAAAAAAAAUGUGAUCUUUGGCACCUCCUUGAUCAAUAUUAGGAGUGGGUAUCUUUGUCUUUGAAUUUGAAGGGUAAGAGGCAAAUUAAAAAGGUGAUAACCCAGCUGAUCAAUGGAUAAUUUUUGCAUAUGUUGGAGGAAUCCUGGGCUUUCUGUCCGGAUUUUUAGGUGUUUUUUUUUACUUUAGCUGGGGGAGUAAGGUUGCUUGAAUUUCAUGGAAUUUGAAUUUUAUAUUAAUUGACAUCUUGGGUGGGUCGAUCUGGUCAGGAAUACUUGCAAGAUAACCUUGAAGUAAAGAGGCAGAGGCUAUGGAUGCAGUAGAUUGUGCCGAGAGGACGACGGGUGAUCUGUUGAUUGGCCCUGGUUGGGGUAUUAACAUUGAACUAUACGAUACCCAGGGAAGGCAAAGGAGGUGAUGAAGAUCCCUACGAAGAAGCGCCCGGGCAAUAAAGAUCAAAAAAUACAGCUUCUGACCCUCUGUCCAGAUUUUAAUAUGAUGGAGAAGUUACUGACCUUGAUAGAUACAUGGCGAGAAGCUGUAGGGGGACCAAGGGGAAGGUAUCCUCAAUACUAUUCUGCAUAUGAUGAGUUGAAG